rnacentral:tRNA from 1 species
GCAAGUAAUUACAAGUGGUUAGGAGGGAUUCAAAAUCCGUUGCCUUCGGGCGUGGCGGUUCAAGUCCGCCUACCGGUACCA